GCACCCGUAGCUCAGUAGGAAGAGUGUCGGUUUCCGAAGCCGGAGGUCACAGGUUCGAUCCCUGUCGGGUGCGCCA
rnacentral:tRNA from 1 species